rnacentral:rRNA from 1 species
CGUGUAGGCGGCUUGAUAAGUCAGAUGUGAAAGCCCUGGGCUCAACCCAGGAAGUGCAUUUGAAACUGUCCUGCUUGAGUAAGGGAAAGGGAAGUGGAAUUCCUGGUGUAGAGGUGAAAUUCGUAGAUAUCAGGAGGAACACCGGUGGCGAAGGCGACUUCCUGGCCCUAUACUGACGCUGAGACGCGAGAGCGUGGGGAGCAAACAGGAUUAGAUACCCUGGUAGUCCACGCCCUAAACGGUGGGCACUAGGUGUAGGGCUCGUAAGGGUUCUGUGCCGAAGGGAAACCAUUAAGUGCCCCGCCUGGGGAUACGGCCGCAAGGUUGAA